CCUGACCAGGCCCUGUACCUC
rnacentral:misc_RNA from 1 species